rnacentral:lncRNA from 1 species
UUUUUAAAUGAGUUAUAAAAUAAUAAUUAAUUAAUUAUUCCAACUCCAAGACAAAUCAAAAGGAUAUACGGCGAUUAAACCAUGCACUAAGCUCAUGCAGUGGAGUAUAAAGAAAACAGUUUUUAAUUAAAAUGUCAUUCCACGGCAAAAUGACGACCAAAGUUAAUCACAUAUCUCAAAAUUGGCAUGUUUUUUUUCAAUACGUAGAGUUUAGUAUUGAUAUAAUGAAGAAAUCUACUUGAUUUUGGUUCAUAGAUACGUAUUGGCAGUUUCGGCUCUGAAGAGUCAAAAAUACAUUCCAUAUUCAAUUAGAAGAUGGAUUUAAAUCAUGGAUUGACAUUUGGUUGAAGGGAAUCACUCUUCUCUUUGUCUGGCUAUACCAUAAUUAUGGAGGUAUCCCAUUUUCAUAGAUUUAAGGAUUUGGAGUUAUGAAAACGACAACUUUUUUUUAGCCUGCAAUCACUUGAGUUAUAUAAUGCUAUAUAAUACUUCCAUAGUUUCUCUAUUUGGAUUAUAAUUUAUUGCAUCAUCCUUUAAUUCUAAAUUAUUCAUUAUCAUGGGAUUUUAUAGAGUUUCACUCGUAACUUUGAGGGAAUUUUAUCUGCAAAAAAAAAAAGUUGAUAUGAAAUCAAUAUUGCUGCAAAACAAUAUUUUAUUGAUACAUAAGUACUCUUUUGAAAAUAAAAUAUCAAUUUCAAUGAGUUCUUUUUCAUCUUGAACCGUGACGUUGUUAAUUUUCUAACAAAAUCUCAAGACUAGAUCUUCUCACAUAAAAUACAUGCACAUUUUGGAAAUUAACUUCAUUUUAAAGAACUAUAGUAGUAUAGUCUUAUAUGUGUUUCUAAAUGUUUUAUAGCUCAAAAAUUGGCCCAAACUAAUGAAAAGUUUAAAAAUACUAAAAUAUAAAGUUAUAAAUUAUCUUCUACUGCAUAGAAUGUAACCUAAAAAUAUUUGAAAAAAGUCAUAUUCUUUUGACUUGUGACAUUUGAUGUUGGAUAAAUAUCUUAAUACUAAUAGACAUAAACUUAUAGAGAUUUCAAUUGGUUUGCUAUACAGCCAAUGAAUCAUUCAUUCAGAGGAUUGAUAAAUUAAUUACCAACACAAAAUAUGUAUUUGACUUAAAAGCAUAUUUAUAUUUGUUGCCUUCAAUGAUAUAAUACCCUUUCAUAUGUUUUAUAGAAUUUGCAACUUGUAAAAUCAAAUUGUAUAAGUUGCUAGUAAAAA